rnacentral:rRNA from 1 species
GACGAACGCUGGCGGAGGGAGGAAAAGAGGGAAGUCGAAAGGGGAAGCGACUUCCUUGGUGGAAGGGGUGGAUGAGUGGCGAACGGGUGAGUAACACGUGACUAACCUGCCCCCUUCUUCUGGAUAACCGGUUGAAAGUGUGGCUAACAACGGAUAUUCUGGGUCUGUCGCAUGAUGGGUCUGGGAAAGAUAUUGUUUCGGUGGGGGAUGGGCUCGCGGCCUAUCAGCUUGUUGGUGGGGUGAUGGCCGAGAAAGGGGUGCACGGGGAGCCGGCCUGCGGGCCUCGACGUGACCACUGGGACUGCGACACGGCCCAGACUCGUGCGGGAGGCAGCAGGGGGGAAUAUUGCACAAUGGGCGCAAGCCUGAUGCAGCGACGCCGCGUGAGGGAUGGAGGCCUUCGGUGUGUCCCCCUCUGUCGCCAGUGAAGCAGGCCUGCGUCUUUGUGGGGUGGGUUGACGGUAGCUGGAUACGAAGCGCCGGGUCCCUACGUC